ACAGAGGGCUCAAGCGUUAAUCGGAAUCACUGGGCUUAAAGGGUCCGCAGGCGGAUUGGAAAGUAUCUUGUGAAAUACCACGGCUCAACCGUGGAACUGCUCGGUAAACUUCCAAUCUUGAACACGGUAGGGGCCAUCGGAACUCUAGGUGGGCGAGCGGAUGAACGUAGAUAUCUAGAGGAACGCCAGAGGCGAAGGCGGAUGGCUGGGCCGUUGUUGACGCUCAGGGACGAAAGCAUGGGUAGCGAACGGGAUUAGAUACCCGUGUAGUCC
rnacentral:rRNA from 1 species